UUUAAACCCAAAGAAUUUGGCGGUAUUUUAGUCUAUUUAGAGGAAUUUGUCCCUUAAUCGAUAAUCCUCGUUUUAUCUUACUUUUUUUUGUUUUCAGUUUGUAUAUCGCCGUUAUAAGUUUAUUUUUCAAGAAUUUUAAUUUACUUUAUAUUUUAUUUUAUUAUAUUUCAGGUCAAGGUGCAGCUUAUAAUUGAGUGGAGGUGAAUUACAAUAUUAUUUAAUUAAACGGAUUUUUGUUUUAAAAUUUGACUGAAGGUGGAUUUAAUAGUAAUUUUAAUUAUAAUGUUAAUUUGAUUUUUAGCUCUAAGAUAAGUACACAUCGCCCG
rnacentral:rRNA from 1 species